AGAGUUUGAUCCUGGCUCAGAUUGAACGCUGGCGGCAGGCUUAACACAUGCAAGUCGAACGGUAACAGGGGAAAGCUUGCUUUCUUGCUGACGAGUGGCGGACGGGUGAGUAAUGCUUGGGAAUCUGGCUUAUGGAGGGGGAUAACGACGGGAAACUGUCGCUAAUACCGCGUAGUGUCGAGAGACGAAAGUGCGGGACCGCAAGGCCGCAUGCCAUGAGAUGAGCCCAAGUGGGAUUAGGUAGUUGGUGGGGUAAAGGCCUACCAAGCCGACGAUCUCUAGCUGGUCUGAGAGGAUGAUCAGCCACACCGGGACUGAGACACGGCCCGGACUCCUACGGGAGGCAGCAGUGGGGAAUAUUGCGCAAUGGGGGCAACCCUGACGCAGCCAUGCCGCGUGAAUGAAGAAGGCCUUCGGGUUGUAAAGUUCUUUCGGUGACGAGGAAGGCGUGAUGUUUAAUAGGCAUCACGAUUGACGUUAAUCACAGAAGAAGCACCGGCUAACUCCGUGCCAGCAGCCGCGGUAAUACGGAGGGUGCGAGCGUUAAUCGGAAUAACUGGGCGUAAAGGGCACGCAGGCGGCUAUUUAAGUGAGGUGUGAAAUCCCCGGGCUUAACCUGGGAAUUGCAUUUCAGACUGGGUAGCUAGAGUACUUUAGGGAGGGGUAGAAUUCCACGUGUAGCGGUGAAAUGCGUAGAGAUGUGGAGGAAUACCGAAGGCGAAGGCAGCCCCUUGGGAAUGUACUGACGCUCAUGUGCGAAAGCGUGGGGAGCAAACAGGAUUAGAUACCCUGGUAGUCCACGCUGUAAACGCUGU
rnacentral:rRNA from 1 species